rnacentral:lncRNA from 1 species
CUAGGGUUCCAUCUAACCUACGCCAGUGGCAACGUACAAGCACUUGAUAUAAUGUACCGUGAUAGGCGCUAAAGAAUCGGAAGCAACAUGGUCCCACCGCAACUGCACAUGUUUUGGGCCUUUUGCGCACGAUAAUCCCGUUCCACCAUUCAGCGCACGGUAGCUCUUCAACGCUACCAAGAGUUCAUCUUCCUCCUUGGAUGCGCACAGCGCACCGCUCCCGCUUUCCUGAUCUUACCUUCCCAAUAAAUAUUAAUUUUUCUGCUUAAAAUUUCUAGAAUUUUCUAUUUUAUUUCUCAAAGUCAGUAGCUUCAGUAAAAUUUCCCUCUUAUUUGGUAAGUAGAUUACUUAUAGUUUCCUCUCUUUUAUUUUUUUUUAUUUUUAUUUUUUUUUGUUGUAUGAAAUCAUAUUUAUGUUUUUAUGCAAAAUAAAAAUUCUUCAUGGCCGUAAGUUUGUUGUUUCAGGGAUUAACAAAUUUUUCUUGUUAUAUUAGUUCACAUUUUUUUUUAAUCAAGAUAAGGAUUAAAUCCUAAAUAUUGAGUAUUUUAUUUGAAGUCAUGGCAAUUAAUUUUCAGACUUUCGAAUCAAGCGGUAUGAAGAUGAUAUUUUCAAGGGAUCAUCAUUCAUCAAUGUGGAGAAGCGUUUUGAACUGUAGCUGAUGAUAUAAAUUAGAACAGUGAGUUUGUUGCUUGUCGAAGUUGCUUAAAUUUAAGAUUAUUUGAAAUGUUAAUUUGACUGUAUGAUUAAACGCUCCAAAUUUGGAAUUGCAAUGACAGUUUGAACAUGGGACGAAAAUUAUUCUCUGUAGGCGAAGAAAAUGAAGAUAGAGCAUGGAUGACUGAGGCGUUGCUGAAUUUAAAAUCAUUGCCAUUUUUGCUUGUUGAGGUGUCAUAGUCAUUGUUAUCACAUUGUUGAGUACUGAUCUGGAUAUAGAAAUUUUGAACGAUAAACAAACUUUUAUUGGUGGAUUAUUCAUUGUUUAUUGUUGAAUGUGGAAGUUUCUAGAAUUUCACUGUAAUAAGUGAUUAUUCUUACCCUUGAAAAUGAAAGAUAACCCACAAACACAUGGGAUUGAUUGGUAGGGGUGAGACUAUCAUUAAUCUUUAGAGGCAUUAGAAGUCCCUUUUUUUCUUGGCUACUUGUAUGUAUCGUCAUGGUUAACUUUUGGCUAUAGGUUGGGUUGAAAAUGACCUCAUUAAGCAGUGGAAAUUGGUAUUCCACAUGCAUUCUCUCCACUUUACAGAGAUCUUCUUGUGAUUAGGUUCUUGUGAAAUGUACCAUCAAGCAUACUCAUCUUCAGCAUUUUGUACUUUUAUCAUUUGCUGAUCCCUCACCCCCAUCAAAACACAUACCCCAAGAACAAAGAGAACAUAAUUCUAAUGUCAAGUUUGAUACAUGAUAUUAGAGUGAAUUGGACACUAUAGUGCAUAAGAUUUUAGUUUCUUUUUCUUUCUUAA